CCGGCUAAAGAAAUUCCGGGGGUGG
rnacentral:piRNA from 1 species